AUUGAACGCUGGCGGCAGGCCUAACACAUGCAAGUCGAACGAGUGGCGGACGGGUGAGUAAUGUCUGGGAAACUGCCUGAAGGAGGGGGAUAACUAGUGGAAACGGUAGCUAAUACCGCAUACCAUCAGAUGUGCCCAGAUGGGACUAGCUGGUUGGUAGGGUAACGGCUCACCAAGGCGAAGAUCCACAGCUGGUCUGAGAGGAUGACCAGCCACACUGGAACUUAGACACGGUCCAGACUCCUACGGGAGGCAGCAGUGGGGAAUAUUGCGCAAUGGGCGAAAGCCUGAUGCAGCCAUGCCGCGUGAAUGAAGAAGGCCUUCGGGUUGUAAAGUACUUUCAGCGGGGAAGCGUUACCCGCAGAAGAAGCACCGGCUAACUCCGUGCCAGCAGCCGCGGUAAUAC
rnacentral:rRNA from 1 species